rnacentral:tRNA from 1 species
GCUGAUUUGGCUCAGUGGAUAGAGCAUCAGCCUGUGGACUGAAGGGUCCCGGGUUCAAUUCCCAAGUCAGGA